rnacentral:rRNA from 1 species
CCCUUAGAUGUUCUGGGCCGCACGCGUGCUACACUGAGUGGAUCAGCGGGUCAGGUUGCGCGAAAGUGUUUCCUAAUCUUGAAAUCCGCUCGUGAUGGGGAUUGACGGUUGCAAUUUUCCGUCAUGAACGAGGAAUACCUUGUAAGCGCGGGUCAUCAUCCCGCGCUGAAUACGUCCCUGCCCUUUGUACACACCGCCCGUCGCUCCUACCGAUUGAGUGGUUCGGUGAGGCUUUGGGAUCUGAGCAAAGAGAGCGUUUCGCUCGUUUUGCCCGGAAAACUCAGUCGAACCUUAUCAUUUAGAGGAAGGAGAAGUCGUAACA